AGCGAACGCUGGCGGCAGGCCUAACACAUGCAAGUCGAACGAACUCUUCGGAGUUAGUGGCGGACGGGUGAGUAACACGUGGGAACGUGCCUUUUGGUUCGGAAUAACUCAGGGAAACUUGUGCUAAUACCGAAUGUGCCCUUCGGGGGAAAGAUUUAUCGCCAUUAGAGCGGCCCGCGUCUGAUUAGCUAGUUGGUGAGGUAACGGCCCACCAAGGCGACGAUCAGUAGCUGGUCUGAGAGGAUGACCAGCCACACUGGGACUGAGACACGGCCCAGACUCCUACGGGAGGCAGCAGUGGGGAAUCUUGCGAAAUGGGCGAAAGGCUGACGCAGCCAUGCCGCGUUAAUGAAGAAGGUCUUAGGAUUGUAAAAUUCUUUCACCGGGGAAGAUAAUGACGGUACCCGGAGAAGAAGCCCCGGCUAACCUCGUG
rnacentral:rRNA from 1 species